AACUAUGGCCAUACCACCCUGAACGCACCUGAUCUUGUCUGAUCUCCAAAGCUAAGCAGGAUUGGGCCUGGUUAGUACUUGGAUGAGAGAAAUGAACACAAACAGAGCCUAGCAU
ensembl:rRNA 5S_rRNA 5S ribosomal RNA